rnacentral:rRNA from 1 species
UGAUGCAGCACGCCGCGUGCAGUGAUAGAAGGCCCUAGGGUUGUAAACGCGCUUUCAGCAGGGGAUGAUACUGACGGUACCUGCAGAAUAAGGUGCGGCCUAACUACGUGCCCAGCAGCGCGGUGACACGUAGGCACCAAGCGUUUUCCGGAUUUAUUGGGCGUAAAGAGCUCGUAAGCGGUUCUGUAAGUCGGGGGUGAAAAUCCCGGACUCCACCUCCAGAAGCCCCCCUAUACUGGCCUGACUUGAGUCCUGGAGGGGAGAGGGGAACUCCUGGUGUAAGGUGAAAUUGCGCAAAUAUCGGAAAACCCCCGGGGGCAAAGGCGCUCUUGGGGCCGUAUCUGACGUUGAGGACCAAAAGCGUGGGAGCAAAACAGGAUUAAAUACCUGGGUAUCCCCCGCCGUAACGUUGGGCACUACUGGUGGGUCUCAUAUAACUUGAUCCGCGCCGUUACUAACGCAUUUUAUGCCCCGCCUGGGGAGUACGGUCGCAUUACUACUCUCG